rnacentral:lncRNA from 1 species
AUAUUUUAAGUAACUCAUAUGAAACACAUAUAGGAAAAUUAAAAUAGGGAGUGAUCAAAUAUUUAUUUUUAUGGUAUAAAGAUUUAUUUGGCUCUCUAACUUAAAAAAAUAAAAAUAAAAUCAUUUUAGCUCUCCAAUUAAUUUUUCAUCUUUUCUAGUCCUUAGACUUGCCUUCUUUUUUCUCAAAUCACACCAAAAUAGAUGGAAAAGUUAAUAUUUUUUAAUUUUGUUGAUGUGAUAUACAUGUGGAUUGCAGCAUGAAUGACACCUCAACAUUUAAUUAAUAUUUUAAUAUUUAAAAAAUUCAAAAAAUUAUUUUUAAAAAUUAAAAAUCAUUAAAUUUAUUUAAAAAUUAUAAAAUAUAUUUUAAAUAUUAAAAAAGUAAUUAAACCUUGACAUGUCAUUACGUGGAUAUGCCACAUCACCAAAAUUAACAAAUGUUAAAUUUUCUAUCUAUUUUAAGGUAAUUUGACUUUUUUUAAAGUUGGAGGGCCAAAAAAGUCACUAUGCCUAUUUUUAUUGAUAUUGCACUUUAAAUUUUUAUUAUAUUUAUUUAUAUAUUAAAAUUAACAUUAAAAUUGAUGUAAUAUAAUGGCGAGUAUUUUAAUUAUAUUUUGAUAAAAAAAUAUUAAAUAAAGUAUAUUGUGAUUUGGUAACAAUGAUUUAACACUAGACUACUUUAGAAAAAGAUAUCUAAAUUGAAAAACUAAGAUAUACAAUUAUUAAAUUUGUAUUUUCUAUCAGUAUUUUAUUAUUUAUCAUGUUACUUUUCACUUGAAUAAUUGUAACAGGCUAAUUUUGGCCGGGCCCAAUAUUAACCAAAUUAAAAAGAGAAACCAAAUAAAAAAUUAAUAAUAGUCCAGUUACAUCAACCUAAAUUUGCCCAGCCCAAUAAACCAAACCCAUUUACGGUGGCCCAGUAUAAACACUGGCCCUAACAGAAACCCUAGCCUCUCUUUAGCCAAACAGAUCGCGCUGGUCCUCCGUCAGCUUCUCCACGCGCGCCGUGCCUUCCACGCACCUCCAGCUGGCCGAACCUGUAACGAACAGAAACAAACAGUAGCAACAAAUGCGAAUAACAACAAAGGGCAAUAUUCUAGGAAAAAAUAAUAGCAGAAUAAGAGAAUAGAUUUUUGAAUAUUUUUCAUUUUUUUUCUCUUCGUUGCGGCUAUAUAAAGCCGAGUACAAAACUGUAAAGGGGGGAUCAAAAGAAAACGGAAAUAAAUAAAAAAAAUCAGGAUAUUUUUCGAAGGUAGAUCCUACUGUUUUUUUUUCAUUCAUAUUUAUUUUCUUUUUUCGUGCUUACUGGCUUUGAAAAGAAGAUAGAAAUUAAAAAAGAGAAUAAGAUAAAAAAAAGGAACCUUCUUUGCUUCACCGGAGGGAGAGGUUCGCCGAUUCUGAUGAAAAUCGGCCCUUUUUUUGGAGUCAGAAAGUCGAAAAGCCCAAAAAAAUGGGUUUCUUUUGAUUUUUCGACCACCGUGUACAGCGGUGCUAUCACCAGCGAUCUGCGGCUGCCACGGUGGUUGGGCGCCGAAACUUGGCCAGAUUUCUGGAGGGUUGAGAGAGAGGGGGAGAGUGUUUUUGAGUUUUUUUUUUGUGAAAAGGGGAUCAAAUGAAGUUUUAAAAAAUUUUGGGCUUAAAUACCUUUAUCAAAACGACGCCAUUUUGAGUUUUAAGUUCAGGGGCCAAAACGGCCUCCUUACCCAUGCGUCAACCUGACCCAGGGGGAGGAUCCUCGUGUUUUGCUUCGAUGGGUUAUUUUCUCCCCUGGCCCUUCCGCAUUUCUGUUAUUUCUAAUUUAGUCUCUUUUGUUUAUUUUCACUUUUUUUUUUAAAUUGACCCCAAAUUUAGUCCCCAACCCACUGAUGCGCUGGAAAGUUGACACGUGUCUAGGGAUUUUUUAUUCAUUUGGUCCUCGGCCUUUUCACGCCUUUCAUUUUAGUCCUUAUUCGUUAAUUUACCCUCGGUUUCACCUUUAAUUUCAUUUUUGUCCUGAUUUAGUCCCAAAAUCUGUUUUAUUUCAAUUUAUUUUUGCAAUUUAUUUAUUUAAAAUUUUUUAUAUUAUUUGUUUUAAAUUAUUUUAUUAUUAUUUAUUUUAAAAUUUUCACAUAUUAUACAUUUUAAACUAUAUUAAACUAUUAUCCGUU